GACGAACGCUGGCGGCGUGCUUAACACAUGCAAGUCGAACGGAAAGGCCCUGCUUUUGUGGGGUGCUCGAGUGGCGAACGGGUGAGUAACACGUGAGUAACCUGCCCUUGACUUUGGGAUAACUUCAGGAAACUGGGGCUAAUACCGGAUAGGAGCUCCUGCUGCAUGGUGGGGGUUGGAAAGUUUCGGCGGUUGGGGAUGGACUCGCGGCUUAUCAGCUUGUUGGUGGGGUAGGGGCUUACCAAGGCUUUGACGGGUAGCCGGCCUGAGAGGGUGACCGGCCACAUUGGGACUGAGAUACGGCCCAGACUCCUACGGGAGGCAGCAGUGGGGAAUAUUGCACAAUGGGCGGAAGCCUGAUGCAGCAACGCCGCGUGCGGGAUGACGGCCUUCGGGUUGUAAACCGCUUUCGCCUGUGACGAAGCGUGAGUGACGGUAACGGGUAAAGAAGCACCGGCUAACUACGUG
rnacentral:rRNA from 1 species